GGCCCAUUGGCUCAAUGGUAGAGCGUCGAUUUCCUACUCAUGAGUUUCCAAACUGCGGAGUAGUCGAAGGUUGUGGGUUCGAGUCCCAUGUGGGUCG